rnacentral:lncRNA from 1 species
AUGAAGUGGAAACAUCAACACGUAGUUGUGGUCCCUUGGCCAGUCAUACUGGUGUAACUUUCUUGAGCGACUAAAAAACUUGACGGUUUCUUCAUUCUGCAGUCAUGUUGGAGAGUUCUUCAGACGGACAUAACUGGCUUAAGUACCGGUUUGUGCAGAUUCUGAAGUGUAUUCGAAUAUCAUUUCUGGUUUUCUUAUAUAUAUGACCUUCAUGGUUAUUUCUUAAGCACCUGUCGACUAGCUGUGGCUCAUUGAUACUUUUUCUUUUUUUCCAUAAGCGGCAGAUGUGGCUCAUUGAUACUUGAUAAAUGCAAAGCUGUAACUAAAUAGUGUAUUGUCCAUGGAACCAAGAAUUCAGAAAACAGUUUUCCAUUGCAAUGAAUCAUGAAAUGAUUCUGUGCAGCUUUUUUUGGUGUAAAACCUGUUGAUUCACUUGGCCUUCUAUAUGAGAGAGUAUGGUUUUUAAUUUUAUGGAAGCAUAGGUUUUUUUUUUGGUCAAAACAGCAACAUUUCAUUUACAAUCGUCAAAUUACAUUGCUUGGAGCAACAGCUCCUCCACGUCUGCUUGAACACACUCAAGCAACCAAAUUGGAAAACUACCUUUUCAAUUAGCAAUUGCUCUUAAGUUUAGAGCAAAUCUUGCUAACUUGAUCCCUCAAGCAACCAAAUUGGAAAACUACCUUUUCAAUUAGCAAUUGCUCUUAAGUUUAGAGCAAAUCUUGCUAACUUGAUCCCAACAGAGUUAGUCUCCCUUCUCACAAAGAAGAAACAACAUUCCUCAAAAUUAUAUUUUAGCAGCCUUAUAUCCUGCAGAAUUGUGGAAAUAAUUACAUCCUCCAUGUCCUUCUCUAUCUUGUCUAUUACAGUCUUGCAGUCAGACUCUGAUAAUUCUCUCUCAUACUUCCAGUGCAGCUUUAACCAUCGCAGUUUUGAUUGCCAGAGCUUCCUCGAGUUUUGGUUCAGUGUACGUGAAGGAGGGACAUGCCCAUGUAGCCACCUGCUUUCCCUUCCAAUAUCUAGCAAUAAUUCCCCAACUUGUUCUUUUUGUCUGUUGGUUCAGUGCUACGUCUGUAUUUAGCUUAAUCCAUCCUUUGUCGGGAGCAUACCAUCUUCCUGGUUUCCUCUCCAUCUGUUGUAGUUCCACCUCUUCCUCUUUUUCUUUUUCCUGUAUUUUUUGGUAUUCCAUCCACUCUGUCAGUGCUGUAUUCACUACUGUUAGUGGACAUCUCCCCUUCCCAUUGAAAUUUAUCUCAUUCCUUGCCUUCCAAAUUUGCCAUAACAGGUUGAUUGUGAAUGUAAUAUGCUCUUUCCCCUUCUCCCUUGCAAUAGCUUCCACCAACUCAGACCAUCAAAGCCAAAAUUUUCCUUUCAAGUUUUCCAGCCCACCCCAUUGUAUUGGUGCUACUUUCUAGAUCUUUUCUGAAUGACUGCAUAGGAAUAGCAUAUGUUCUAUCGAUUCUGAGUAUAUACCACAACAUUUACAUAAUGGAUUUGAUUCCUUCAUUGAUUGGUAGAAUGCCCUUCAUACACUUAUAGAUAAAAUGUUUUAGUUUAUGCUUCAUCUUUAGGUUCCAUAGUACUUUCUAUUCUUUAGCAUUGACCUCACUUCUACUUCCUGAUUCCUCAUUGCUUCCUCCUACAGAUCUAUAUCCGGACUUAACUGUGUAUUCUCCAAAGGCAGAAUGCACCCAGAAUAGCCUAUCCUUUGUUUCCCGAAGACUUAAAGAGAUCUUCAUAAUCAUCUCCCUAUCCUCCUCAACAAACACUUUUUUCACUAGCUUAUCAUUCCAGCUACCAUCUUUGAUCAGUUCACUAACUUUACACAAUCCCAAUACUGGGUCUCUUUGUGUGCUCACCUUCCCUCCUGCCACCUCUGGGAUCCAUCAUUUCAAAUAUCUAUUGUUUUCCCAUUUUCCACCCUCUUUCUCACCCUUUCAUCAAAUAAAGGCCUCGCACUCAAAAUGCUUUUCCAUCACCAAAAAUCAGUGCUUCUCCUUUUCAUUUUCCAAAUUGAAGUACCUUUGAAAUAUUUGGCUUUAAGGAUUUUACUCACUAAUAAAUUUGGCCUUGUAAGUAUCCUUCAUAGCUGCUUAGCCAAAAGUGCCUGAUUGAAGUUUUCUAAAUCUUUAAAGCCUAGGCCCCCAUUUUGUUUCACUUCAGACAGCUUCCCCCAUCCUAUCCAAUGCAUCUUCCUUUCCUCUCCUAUACUUUCCCACCAGAACUUUGCCAUUUCUCUUCCAAUACACUUACAUAACUCCUUUGGAAGUUUGCAGCAUGACAUCACAUAUGCAACGAGAGCCAUAACCACAGAUUUUCAAUAACACUUCUUUCCCUGCCAUGCUUAGCAUCUUUUCUCUCCAUCCUGAUAUUUUACUAAUCAUCUUUUCCUUAACAAAAUCAAACACCUGUGUUUUGUAUCUUCCAAUCACCAAUGGUAAACCCAGGUACCUGCUUUGUUUUACUGCCUUCAUCUCUCCCAACUUCUCCAGCACUUUCAACCUCUCCCUUUCUUGAACAUUCUUAUUGAAAAACACUGAGGAUUUCUUAGUGUUGAUUAGUUGUCCUGAAGCAUUACCAUACUUCCUUAGUACCUCCAUCAGUUGCCCUGCCUCCUUUUCCUUUGUCUUAUAGAAGAUUAGUGAAUCAUCUGUAAAAAAGAGAUGAGACAGUCUAGGACCACCACAAGACAGUUAAAGGUCUGUCAAUUUUCCUUUUCUCACUGCUUGAUUGAGCAAUGCUGAGAAACCUUCUGCACAAAUCAAAAAUAAAAAGGAGGACAAAGGGUCUCCUUGUCUGAGUUCCCUAGUUAGUUUGAUAAACCUCUUCUUCUCCCCAUUAACACUCACUGAAUAAGAAACACUAGACAUACAUAUUUUUUUUAUAAUCCACUCCACCCAUUGCUGAUAGAACCACAUUCUUAACAUAAGCUUUUCUUGGAAAAUCCAUUCCACCCUGUGAUAUGCUUUAGACAUAUCUAGUUUGAUAGCCACAUAUCCCUCUUUAACAGAUCUUUUAUUGUUAAGGAAAUGAAUGCAUUCAUGGGCGAUUAGAACAUUCUCCAGAAUUUGUCUGCCAGGAACAAAAACAGAAUGAUUGGGAUUGAUGCAGCAAUUAAUAACUCUUUUUAACCUAUUGACUAGGAUUUUUGAUAUGACUUUGUACAGGACAUUACACAAACUUAUAGGCCUGAAUUGAGUAACAUUAACAGGGGAAUCAACUUUGGGAAUCAGGCAGAUCAAAGUUUCAUUAACAGCUUUUAAUAAGUUGCCAGAAUGAAAGAAACUUUAAACAGCAUUGAUCAGAUCCAUUUUAUUAACAGACCAAAAUUUUUGAAAAAAGAUAGGGGUCAUACCAUCGAGUCCUGGUGACUGGCUUGGAUGCAUAGAAAAGAUAGCUCUGUAAAUUUCCUGCUCUGUCACUGGUAAGGUAAGUUGCUUGUUCUUCACACUGGUUAUAGACUGUGGGAUCUCAUUUAAGAUGUCAUCUAACCCCUGAGGUUCUUCAAAGGUAAAAAUGUCUUUGAAGUAUUGGAUUAUCUUAGCUCCAGUUUCCUUCUCAUCUUUACACCAGUCCCCACCCCUUUUCUGUAUGAGACCAAUCCUAUUCCUCUUUUUCCUGCCAGCCACACAUGCAUGAAAAUAGUUGGUAUUCUUAUCUCCUUCCUCUAGCCAUUUCUAUCUUGCCUUUUGACUCUAAUAUACCUUUUCGUUUUUAUAGGCUUCAGCCAGUCUCUUCUUCAAAGCUACCAAUUUGAUCCUAUUCCCACUCAUAUUGUUUUCCCUUAUAUCCUUAAUCUCUUUUUUGAUCUAUAUUAUAAUUCUUCCAAAACUACUCCCCUUCUGCUUACUCCAUCUCAAUAAGGUCAUUCUGCAUUGUCUGAUUUUGUUCUGUAUCCUGAAAAAUCUGGACCUUUUGCAAUUUGUGCUCCAUGUAGAUUUUACUACAUUCCCCACCUCCUUGUGCUAGAGCUAGUUCUUGUCAAACACAAAUCUCUUUUUCCAUCUCUUUCCACCAGGUUUUGUGUCCAAAAGUACCAUAUAGUGAUAAGAGGCUUCUUUCUCUAAAUGACUGCACCUGGCAUUCCUGUAGCUACUGAACCAGCUCCCAGAUUCUAACACUCUAUCUAACCUUUCUCUAAUUUCCCUUCAGGAUCCCACCUAUUACACCGUGUCCAAGGUUUCCCCUCAUAGCCUAUAUCCACUAGUUCAUUAUCAAUAAUGAAAUCUCUAAAGUUCUUAAAACUAUUGUCGGCUCUAUCCCUAUCACCCCAUUUCUCUCCAUUUGAUACUAUAUCAUUCAUGUCCCUCAUAAUGACCUACCGCUCACCCCAGACCUGUUUCCUUCUAGACACCACUUUCUAUUGUUCUUUCCUAACAUUAGCAUUUGGACUAGCAUAAAUGCACACACACCACGAUUCGAAAUUUGUAUCCCUAUCAUCAAUCAGCAAUUCUAUAGUAAAACUAGUAAACAGAACUUGCUUAACAUUAACCUCAUUCUUCCAUAUCAUUGCCAAACCACCAGCCAGACCCACAGGAUCCACAACAAAGUGAUUAUCAAACCUUAUUUUUUGCUUAACAUUAUUCAGAACACUCUUUUUAUUUGUUGUUUCAGAAAGAAAAACUAGAGAAGGGGAAUGGAGUACCACAACCUCCUUCAGUUGGGGAACUGUCAAAGGGCUCCCAACACCUCGACAAUUCUACACAAGGGCUCUCUGAUAGGGUGUUAAUUGUUAGUAAUUUUAUUGUUAAUUUUCCCCUUUGUCCUUGCCAAAUAUUGUUUAAAUUGUUAAUAUAUACUUAUUUUUGGUAUCUGGACGUAAUUUCAGGGAAUGGAGUAGAAAACUACAAAAAAGAAAGGAAACAAGAGACAAUUGGGCUAGGGCCCACCUUUUGUACUUCAUUGGUUCAAGUCCUACGGGAGAUAGCAUUAGUAAUCUUUUUUGGCUUCUAAGAUGAUCAUCGGCGGGGACCAUGAGAGGAGAAAAGGCUUUUCUUCAUUUGGCCUUUAAGAGAAAAAACGUAGAGAGGCUCAAGACAAGAAGAAGAAUUCGGCAGGCUUGUGCUACUUCGUGGGGACCAAAAAACUACAUUUUCGGCUGCUGAUGAAGAGAAGGCUCGUACUUGGAGUCCUACUAUCAAUCGGAAGCAAUGAGCAAUUCGGCAGGGCCCCACCUUUUUGUAUUCUCUUCUCUUAAUUCGGCAGGGCAUUCUUCUAGUAGUUUUUGGACUCUAAAUUUCGACGGGGAACACGGAGAGAAAGCAUUAGGGAUUAGUCAUUUUGGCUUUAAAAAGAAAGAAACGUACAGGCGGCUAUUAUCAAUAGUUUUAGCUUAGACUUUUAGCAUAGUUUUAGUUUUCUUUUCUUGGCUCUUUUGAUGACCUGGAUCUCAGUGAAAUUACUUGGAGAUUUUCUUAUGAGGCGUGGCUAAGUUUGUCUAGUCGAGGAACAACGGAGGACUUGGUUCUACUAAAUUUGUGAGAUCGAAUUAGUUUUUAUUUAUUUCCAUUAUUCACUGGUAUUCGUCUAUCUUCUACUUUAUGUUCAUAUGGUUGUUUUAUUAUUCAAUUAUCCAAGACCCGGAUUCUAGAUUAAUUCAAUAACCUGAAACCAAUUAGGGUAGUUAAAUCCGUAAUUGUUUAAUUAUUCUAAACUGGUGGCAACUGGCAUGAUUGGGUUUGUGUCAGGGAGAUAGACAUGCUAACUUAAAGAGACACUCGUAGCGUAUUGAUUGAUUAGAAUUAGGCUCUUCUAAUUAUUCAUGCAAUUAGGGAAUUGAACUUCUAUGAUCGUACUUAAGGUUGUUUCCUGAUUAGAGAAAUAGUCAACGGUCGUACCUUGGCUAUCGACAAAUUGAGGAAGAGUUGGUUGUUUAUCGCGUGUAUGACAACUAUAACUAAUUUAUCAGAUAGUAACUAGAAUAAUUCUUGAAUCUGUGAUCGAAUUAAGUGAACCAUCUCCGAAGUUGUCUCUUGACUAGAGUUUGUCCAUUAUUAUUUUUAUUGUGAUAAUUAGUUAUUUGAGUUGUAGUUAUUUUAUUUUAUUUUAAUUUAUUCCAAGUAAUUUAGUUACUCUCAUUUUCAAAAACCCCCCAUAUCUGGAACUUGAGAAGAAAUUAAAUUAUCCCCAGUCCCUGUGGAUUCGACCCUACUUACCGCUAUAUACAGAAAUUAUAUUUUAUUUAAGCAGGUAUUUAUUAUUGCACAGGUUCGACAACCUGUCAAUUUUUGGCGCCGUUACCGGGGACUGGUGCCAGAUUAAUUUUUUUUUUGAGUUCAUUUAUUUUAUUUUAUUUUAUUUUAUUUAUUUUUCUCUUAUUUUUUUUAAUAUAGUUUAUGGCUUCUAACACUCCGUAUUUUGGUGAUAGACUGGAUUUUGUUUUCAGGGAAGGCAAUGAGGCUAGUUCUUUUGCUAAGUUUGCAUAUUCAGAGGCACUAAACUCUAUUAGAGAAAGAAUGACUGCUGCAACCUGUAAAAUUUGUUAUGUCAGGGAUCAUUCAACCGGUAUGUGCCCCGAAUAUCCAGAUAAUCUGAGUGUCCCACUCAAUAAUUAUGGAGAUUUUUCACCCUGGUCUCAAACGUGGUAUAACCCUAAUCCAAACGGGUAUGAUCAAGAAUAGUGGGAUAACUCCAGUUAUAAUUAUACAAUAGGGCCAAUGAAUUUUCAGCAGUACGAGUCUCAAGAAUCAUCAUCUAUGUCAGGUAUGUCUCUUGAAGAAAUAGUUGAAUCAAUAGCUACUAAUACAUAUCAAUUCCAACAGGAGACACAAAUGAGAAAUGAGAUGAUGAAGGAUGCAAUGAGUAAUCUGGCAGAUCAAAUAUGUCUAUUGACAUCCAGAAUAAAUCGAUUGACUUCUCAAAUUGACGAAUUGCCCUCGAAAACCAUUGUUGAUUUUGAAGAAAAUGAGAGUGCAAUUUGCUUGACUAGUGAUGAGGAGAUGCAAGAGUGUCAAAAUAAGAGAUCUACAGAUGCAGUUGAAAAAGGAGCCGAAAAGGAAGAAAUGGAACCCCAAUCGCAACCCAUUCAAGUGAAAGAAUCCAGUGAAGAAUCAUCAAAUGUGGUGACACCACCUCCAUUCCCUAACCCGCAUUUUCCUAACUCUUACUCUAUAAUUUCUGUUAAUGAGAUUGAUUUUGUUAUACCGGAAGUUUUUGAGUCUCAUGGCAGAAAUAAGUUAAGAGUAGCUAUGGUCAAAUAUCUUUAACCGUUGAGUGCUCUUGAUGGAGGAGUGGAUGAAGAAUUGAGAUCACUACUUGAUUAUUUGACCUCAUCUACUAGUCCAAGGAAAACCGUAGCUCGUGUGCUCAAGAAUUACUCUAUUUAUUAGGGUUAUCAGGACUAUAUAAAUGAUGAAGCAUUGAAACGAGACACAAGAUUUUAUCCUCCCUGAGCAAAGAUGACAAUGUCUAGCCAAAGACAUUAAAAAAAAAGGCGCUUUUUGGGAGGCAACCCAAAUAUUAAUUUUAUUAUUUUUCGUUGUUCAUUUCUUUCGUUUUUUGUUUCUCAAUUGAGCAGUAAUGGUCUUCAUAUUUUUCUCUACUGUGGCAGGAAGUUCAAUCUUGGCGUGCCCACGCGGUGUUUGUGUCUCUUGAGAUCAGUGGACGUUUUAUAAUCUUGGCGUGCCCACGCAAUGUUUGACGACCCAAAAAUGAAUUCAAAAAAAUUUUUUUUUUAAAUUUACAUUGAAAAAGAAAAUUGAAAAAAAACAUUUUUUUUCUUUUUCUUCAAAAAUUCAGAUUUUGAAAAUUUAAAUUCGGGAAAAAAUUUUUGGAAAAAAAACAUUGAAAAAAACCCAAAAUCUAUUUUUUUUCCUUUUUCUUUUUUCUUUCUUUUUCUUUCUUUCUUCUUCUUUCUUUCUUUCUUUCUUCCCCGCUACCCUGCUUCCCUUUUCUUUUAUUUCUUCUUUCGGCUGCCCUCCAUUCGCCACCACCUACUUUGCAUCAACUCCCCAUCGCACGCCAUUGCCCAUCGCCAGCCACUCGCCUCGCCGACCGCCGCUAGUGACGUCCUCCAGAAGCCCCGACGCUCGCCCACCCUCGCGGCUGAGCAGCGCAGCUCGUCUCUCUCCGCCACUACUCGCCGCGUGCCACUGCCUCCCUCCAGCUCGCUUCCAGCUCUGCCCAGCCGCACCUAGCUCGCCGUUCUCCGCCCGUCGCACGCGGCCCUCUCCCUUCACCUCGCGGUCCAUCACUCACCUCGCGCCACCUGAAGCCCGCCAAGCAGCCAUGCGCCGCCAGUUCCCCGUUGCCCAGCUGCCAUCGCCGCCGCCUCCAAGCUCCACCCUCUCGGCCACCUCAGCUCUUAUCCCCUCACUCUCCCUCUCGAGCUCACACUCUACCGCGCCUCGCCGUUUGAAGCCUCCGCCACCAGAUAUUUCUCCCUCCCACGCAGCUCACGCUCCACCAACGCCACAAGCAGCCGCGCGCCUCCCUCGCUCAUCAUCGCGAGCUCACAGCCGCACACCGAUAGCCGCACACCACCAGCAGCUCCACCCCCUCCACGAGCUCACUCCGCGCGCAUCUCUCUUUCUCCUCCAUCAGCACGUCGGAGGUACUCGCUUUCUACCCUUGUUUUAGUAUUGUUUUGAUGGAUAGAGCAAGAGCUAAAUUGGCCGUUUUCUGGGUUUAAUUUUCGGGUGAUAUUAUGUUUCUUUGCUGCUCCAUUUGGGGAUAUUUUCUGGUACUGAUUACAUUGUUAAGCAUUGAUUGGGUUUUGACUACUCGAGGCCUUUAUUUUCAUCUGUGGGGAUAAAAUUUGAGUUGGCAAUUUGAUUUAGUUUUUCCCUAUGCAUUCACCAGUGGUACUGGCGAUGGUAGUUGUUUUACCUUUUGUUAAUUCUGUGUUAUUGGUUGCCUAAUUGAUCGAGUUGUGACUACCGAGCAUUUGUGAUUGAGCUGUUUCUGUCCAGCUUCUAAACCGUUGUUGUUGGAAUUGCCCUCUUCUUGGGUCAAUCGCUAAUUUUAGCAGGUUGAAUUGGGUAAUUGACUGUCCAAUUGGAGACAAUUUUUUACGAUUUUGGGUCCGAUUGUGUCUAAUUUGUAUAAUUUGUGUCGAACUGUGGGUAAUUUUCUGCGAUUGUUUGUUAAAUUGGGAGGUGCCUGCGACACUUAUCUUUGCUUAUUUACAUUGGUUGCGCUUUCUAAGAGGCUCUUGUGGCUGAUUUAAUUUUUGUUGUGCACCAGUGGUAUUGGUUGGGGUAUUAUAACUACAUUUGUUGAUACUUGGUUCUAGUUGGUUGGCCAUCUGAUUGCAAACUGACACAACAUUUUGAUUUAGUUGUAGUCCAAAUUUUGAACUACUAUUGCUUGUUUUGUCGGUUUCUUGGGGCAUUUGCUAAUCUCAGUUGGUUAAGUUGUGUAAAACUGUGAUAGUUUUUUACGAUUUUGGGUGGAACUGUGUCUAAUUGCUGAAAUUUGUUAAUUUGUUUAGACAUGAACGCUGCUCAUAGUUUGAGUGAAAUUGGUUGGACGUCCUUUGCCCGUGGAGUUUAGAUGUUACAUUGUUUGGGGUGGUUUCCUGGUACUGAUUGAAUUAUUGGGCAUAAAUUGCUCAGGGCUUUACAUUGCUAAUUUGGUGGGCCAUUUAUUAUGCACUACCCUUUUGAAUUGGGAGAUACCUGUGCUUAUUGGGUUGAUUGUUGACUUCACUAGAGGAUAUUGAUUUCUACUGAUCUGCAUUUACUUGUUCCUCUAUAUGUUUGACAGGUGCCGAACCUGUGCAAUAAUAAUUACUAAAAAAUCCUAAUUACCACCUUAAUUAAAUAAUUAUAGAACAAAUCCAAGUACUGGAGCAGGGACCCUAGGUGUGCAAUGGGUUACUUGAUUCACCCUGUUCCCGAAGAGUUUGCUUGAUCCGAUAUACCGGAUUUGUCUAUAAAAAUACUAAUUUUGCGUACAAUGGCAAGUAGGGUCGAUUCCACAGGGAGCAGGUAGAAAAUUAUUUCUUUCCAAAUUAGUAGAACGAAAUUGGGGGAUUUUCAAUGGGAGGCAAAUAAAAAUAACAUAAAAUAAAACAAACAAAAUUCAAAACUAACUCAUAAAGCACAAUUCACUAAAAAUAGCAAUUAACAAAAUUCCACCCAAAGGAUCAACUGCUCAGGCACGGUCCAAUUAAAUGAUCAUCGAUGCAAAGAUAUUUCACCAAUUCAUCACUAGAUUGGUUAUAGUUAUCAAUAAGCUCUGACAACCAAUUCUUCCUUACCUUUUCGACAGUCAAGGUACGACCAUUGACUGCUUCCCUAAUCAGAUAACAACUCUAGGUACGACCGUAGGAAUUUAAUUACCCAAUUGCAUUAAAACUAGAAGAACCCAACUCUAACCAAUAAACACGCUAAGAGGGUUUAUUUAAGCUAGAUCUUGCGUUUCCCCAUCAUAAAACCAAUUAUGGUGGUUGCCACGAGGUGUCAAUUAAAUGAACAAUUACGGAUUCUAUUUAAUUAAUGUGGCAGUAGGCUAUUAAAUUAAAUCAAAUACCCGGCCGUUGAUAUUCAAUUAAUCAAAUACCCAUGAACAAUUAAUUCAGAAAAUACACGAAUAGCAAUAAAUUGGAAGAAAUAAUGAAGAUUCGAUUAGAUCUCACAGAUUUUAUGGACCGCGCCCUCGCGUCAACCUUUGGGUAGACGAGAAAAUUAGCCGUUCCUCAUCAUAUCAAUCCCGCGUGACUUAAUUGAAUUCAUUCAAUUAAUUGCCGAAGAAUUGAAAAAGAUGAAUUAAUGUAGGAACUGCAGAAAAAGCUUCGCUUCCCUUUGUUGGGUUUCGUGUUCGUACCCCUGGAGCGAGAGUAGAAGCAAAAGUCGAAUAGGAAAAAUUGUACAGAAGCCAAAAGCAAAAGCUACAGCAACGGAGAAAGUCUCCAAUGUCUGACCCAGAGCCGCAGAAGGAACAAAUGAAAAACCAAAAGAAAACCGUCUGACCAAUCUUCCCCAAAAAGUAGAAAAAGAGAACCUAAGGCUAAAAAAUAGAUGAUGCUCAAUCUUGCUUUGUCCUUUUCUUUUUAUAGCCGCCGUCCAAGAAGAGUCAAAGAAGGAAACGUCUGGUGCAAUUGAUUCUACAAAAGCCAUUUCCCUUUUGGAGUUUUGAUCCCAUGUGCCUGGUCCACAUGGACCACGGUCCGUCUUUCGGUUUCGUCCACCUUCCAAGGCGUGGUCACGCCCUGGGACGACAAGUCUUCUGGAAAUCUACCCCGCGAGAUCAUUUUUAAUGCCGAUCACCUAUAAUUCAUACGAAUGUGAGAUAUGAGUUAAAUCUCAGUAUUUAGCACCGUAAAUAGCCAAAAUUAGGCCAAAAUAACACUGCAAAAUAUGCCCAAUAACUGCUCUAUCAAAUCCCCCCACACCUAGACAAUGCUUGCCCUCAAGCAUUUCAAAGCUCAGAAGUACAACCAAGAGAGCGGAGGUCAUGCAGUAGUCUAUACUAACACAAGCAUCUAAUGUCCCUGACAAUAUCACCAAAAGUAGAGCACACCAGACCUGUUGUAAUUCAAAGAAUAUAUAUGAAUACUAAGAACGCUCAAAUCAACAUCACGGAAUGCCAUUACCAUACGCUUGCACAUUCAUCAUAUCUCCACCACUUAAAAGUGAACUAAACACAUAAAUCAAAGGGGCUUUAAUAAGGUUGUAAUGGGGCUCAGGUGAAAGGCGGGUUAAGAAGAUAUAGAUAGGGGGUAAAGUGUCAAGAAAAUGUCCGAAACCCACCAAUAACCACAGUGCUAGGGGGCAGUUUUCAUUUGCUGUACCCUUUGUACAAGUGUCCCCAAUUUUUUUCUCUUUCUCUCUUUUUUUUUUUUGGAUUGAAUACUGCUCGCAAGGCGUGGGCACGCCUUGUACCCCAUAGUCCUCUGGUCACGAGGUCUCUUCAGGAUUUUUUUUUUUUUUAAGGAGAAAGUCCUGUAAGGCGUGGGCACGCCCUGUAAGCCAAAGUCCUCUGGUCAGUGGCCUUUUUCCAAUUUUCCCUUCUUUAUACAAGGAUAGCAUCAUAUAGCUCCUAAUCUAACAGCACUUGCAACCCCAAUUUUGUUUGCUUUGCACAAAUGAUGAAAUUCAGGCAUCCCUUGACAACACAGGGGUAAACAAGAAAGUUUAAAGAGGGUUUGGAUUAACAAACACGGAUAACAACCAGAAACGAAGGACAAAAGCUCAAAUUAGUUCACUAUUGGGAGAUAAGAUGAGGGCUUGAUUUUUUUAGAUAGCUAAAGAGGGUUAAAUCCUAAAUGCCCAUAUCAUUUCAAAUGCAUCCAAUUCAACAAAAAUGUGGCAUUGACAUGUAUAAACUAGCAAGUUCUAGAAUGCCAAUACCAUGUGUGAUACCCACUCAAUCAAACAAAAAUAGAGCAAACAAGAAUAAUGUGCUCAUAUAAGGCUCAAAAACUCCCCCAAAAGUUACAAGAAUGGGUCAAUUCCAGCAUAUUCAACAUUCAACGACACUACCAAGGGAAACAAAAUGCACAGCUAGUAUAUUCGACCACAUACCCACUCACUUUGAUUGUGUCAUUCAUCACAGCAACAUGCCCUAAUACUAACAAGCAUAGAAAUAGCCAAAAAGCCGCCUAACUACAAUAUUUUAUUUUUUUUUUCAUUUUGUUUUUGUUUUGUUUUUGUUUUUGUUUUUUUUGUUUUUUGUUUUUUGUUUUUUUUUAAGUAACAAAGAAAAAAAAAUAAUGGAAGCCAUUAAUCCCCCCACACCUAAAACCUACAUUGUUCUCAAUGUAGAAAAGACAAAUGAAGUAUUAGGGGAAAAGAAAAGAAACUUCCCUGACCACUGGGGAGAGAAAGUGAGACACUAAGGCGGAGGAGGUGAGACGGCUGCGUGUACAAGGUGGUGUGGUGGCGGCGGACGUAACACCAACAGGAAGGAGAAGACUGAAGUUUCUUUUUCGGAAGUGUUGGAAGGCGUGGGCACGCCUUAGAAGUUAUAGUCGUCUGACCGUCAAUUCCAAAACUCCAUUCCUUAGGUGUGAUGACCUAGCGUGGGUAUGUCUAGCUGCCAACUUCCUGUCACAAAAUAACAACCCACUAAAUGACACUAACACUUAACAAAAACUUCAAAAAUAUAAGAAAACUAAAACAAAAGAAGGCUUGGGUUGCCUCCCAAGCAGCGCCUUUCUUUAAUGUCUUUGGCUAGACAUAACACCACUCUUUAGUCUGGAUGUAAUUGAAUUUUCCUUGUAAUUGGUGGCCCUCCUCCAGGAUCCACAUGGCCAUUGAGUGCAACUUUUUUCCUAAAUUUUCUCUCCAUUUUUACCUCAUGAAUUGCUUUUAUCCUAUAGGACUUGUUCGCAGCAACCUUGGAUUUACCCCUAUAAGGAAACUUAGAAAAUUCUUGCACAGAGGGAUUAGUGGCAUACAUAGCAAACACAGAAUGAGAGUUAACAGGAUAUUUCAUUGUAUCAAAAAUAUUAAAGUGGACUAUUUCUCCAUCAAAUUUCAUCGUGAGAGUACCCUUACUAACAUCAAUUUUAGUUUGGGCAGUACUCAAAAAUGGUAUUCCUAAUAUAAUGGGUGAUGGAUUUAGGGCACUUCUAUCAUCCAUGUAAAGCACAUAAAAAUCAGCAGAAAAAAUUAAUCCAUCUAUUUGCACUAAAACAUCCUUAACUAUCCCAUCCGGAUAAGCACAUGUACGAUCAGCCAAUUGAAUUAUUAUCCCCGUUUCUUUUAAAGGUCCUAAAUUUAGCGAAUCAUAGAUUGACUUAGGCAUCACAUUAAUAGAAGCUCCUAAAUCUAUCAUGGCAUUUUUGAUACUAGAAUGACCAAUCUUACAGGGGAUAGCAAACAUACCUGGAUCUCCGCAUUUGGGUGGGAGUUUCCUUUGAAGUACAGCUGAUACAUUCUCUCCUACCAUCACUCUUUCAUCACCCCUUAACUUUCUUUUGUUAACGCACAAGUCUUUCAAGAACUUUGCGUACUUGAGUAUCUGCUUGAUCGCGUCCAAUAGGGGGAUGUUUACUUGAACUUUGCGGAACACAUCUAGGAUUUCUUUUUCCUUUUCUGCCCCCUUGGUUUUUUCCAAUCUGCAAGGAAAAGGAGCUAGAUAAGAUUUAAUAGGGAUCGAAGGAAUAGAUGUUACCUUAGACUCUUUCCGAAUACGCUCUUCCUCUUCAAUUCCCUUUUCUAUCUAUUCCUCACUUUUGCUUUUCGAAUUUACCAACUUAGGUCCUUCCACCUCUUUGCCACUCCUUAAUGUCAUGGCGCUUACAUUCUUGGGAUUUGCCUCGGAUUGUGAUGGCAAUUUCCCAUAGACGUGGGACUCCAGGCGGUUAAUGGCAGUUGCCAUUUGACUCAUUCGAAUCUCCAUGUCCUUCAUGCCUGCUUUGGUGUCCUAUUGGAACUGAGUAGUACUCGCGACUAAGGACCUUGUCUCCUGCUGGAGCUGAGUGGUGGUUGUGACGAGUUGAGUGGUAGUCAUGGCCAAACUCUUGACAAUUUCCUCCAAAGAGCUUCCUGAAUUGGAGGACGAGGGUUGAGACUUUUGUUGCCACGGUUGCUGGAAUCCUGGUGGACGAUCAGAAAAUGAAUUAUGUGGCUUAUUACCAUAACUGAAAUUGGGGUGGUCUCGCCAACCCGGAUUGUAUGUGUUGGAGUAUGGAUCGUACUGUCUACGAGGCGCGGGCACGCCUCCAGCCAUGUUCACUUGUUCAGCCCCAUUCUCUUGCAACAGAGGACAUGAGUCAGUAGGGUGGCCCAUAUUUGUGCAGAUUCCACAGGCUUUUACUUGGGGCACAUUUCUCACAGCUAAUUGUCGAACAAUGGAUGUCAGCUCCGACAACUGUUGCUGAAUAGAUGUCGUCUCCACCUCAUUAACCCUACGGGUAGGGUUACUCUCACGGAAGCCAAACUGUUGAGAAUUUUCUGCCAUCGACUCAAUGAGUAGCCAUGCUUCCCUUGGUGUUUUGUUUGCUAAUACUCCCCCACUUGCUGCAUCAAUGAUACUCCUGUCGGACGUCUGUAGUCCCUCAUAAAAGUAUUGGAUCAAUAGUUGUUCACUAAUUUGAUGCUGUGGGCAUCUAGUGCACAACUUAUUGAAUCUUUCCCAAUAAUCAUAUAGGGACUCCCCGGGAUACUGUUUAAUACUACAUAUUUCUUUUUUUAGACUUGCAGCCCGGGAGGCAGGGAAGAAUUUUUCUAAAAAUUUCUUCUUAAGUUGGGCCCAUGUUGUGAUACUACCUGUGGGUAGGUAGUAUAACCAAUCCUUCGCUGCAUCCUUGAGGGAAAAAGGGAAGGCUCUCAGUCUAAUUUGCUCUUCAGUGACCCCAGGAGGUUUCAUACUAGAGCAAACCACCUCGAACUCCUUGACGUGUUUGUGGGGUUCUUCGCCAGAGAGACCAUGGAAAGAAGGUAAGAGGUGAAUCAACCCCGACUUCAGUUCGAAAGCCGUAUUCUCAGCCAAAGUAGGGAAUGUGAUGCACAAGGGCUGGUGAGUCAGUUCCGGGGCAGCCAGCUCCCUUAAUGUUUGGGUGUUGGCCAUGCUUAUUUCGUCUUCUACUGACUCGUUUGCAAUAAAUGAGUGCCCUUCUUUUCGUCUCUUGGUCUCUUGCCUCCGCUUACGCGCUACCUUCUCAACCUCCGCGUCGUAUAUCAAUUCACCUGUGCGAGAAGAACGGGGCAUAAACUAGCAAAAAUACCAAGAAGAAUAAAAUAAAAUAAAAACUGAAUUUGAAAAGAAACAAAUAAUCCAAACGCCAGCUCCCCGGCAACGGCGCCAAAAAUUGACAGGUGCCGAACCUGUGCAAUAAUAAUUACUAAAAAAUCCUAAUUACCACCUUAAUUAAAUAAUUAUAGAACAAAUCCAAGUACUGGAGCAGGGACACUAGGUGUGCAAUGGGUUACUUGAUUCACCCUGUUCCCGAAGAGUUUGCUUGAUCCGAUAUACCGGAUUUGUCUAUAAAAAUACUAAUUUUGCGUACAAUGGCAAGUAGGGUCGAUUCCACAGGGAGCAGGUAGAAAAUUAUUUCUUUCCAAAUUAGUAGAAUGAAAUUGGGGGAUUUUCAAUGGGAGGCAAAUAAAAAUAACAUAAAAUAAAACAAACAAAAUUCAAAACUAACUCACAAAGCACAAUUCACUAAAAAUAGCAAUUAACAAAAUUCCACCCAAAGGAUCAACUGCUCAGGCACGGUCCAAUUAAAUGAUCAUCGAUGCAAAGAUAUUUCACCCAUUCAUCACUAGGUUGGUUAUAGUUAUCAAUAAGCUCUGACAACCAAUUCUUCCUUACCUUUUCGACAGUCAAGGUACGACCAUUGACUGCUUCCCUAACCAGAUAACAACCCUAGGUACGAUCGUAGGAAUUUAAUUACCCAAUUGCAUUAAAGCUAGAAGAACCCAACCCUAACCAAUAAACACGCUAAGAGGGUUUAUUUAAGCUAGAUCUUGCGUUUCCCCAUCAUAAAACCAAUUAUGGUGGUUGCCACGAGGUGUCAAUUAAAUGAACAAUUACGGAUUCUAUUUAAUUAACGUGGCAGUAGGCUAUUAAAUUAAAUCAAAUACCCGGCCGUUGAUAUUCAAUUAAUCAAAUACCCAUGAACAAUUAAUUCAGAAAAUGCACGAAUAGCAAUAAAUUGGAAGAAAUAAUGAAGAUUCGAUUAGAUCUCACAGAUUUUAUGGACCGCGCCCUCGCGUCAACCUUUGGGUAGAGGAGAAAAUUAGCCGCUCCUCAUCGUAUCAAUCCCGCGUGACUUAAAUGAAUUCAUUCAAUUAAUUGCCGAAGAAUUGAAAAAGAUGAAUUAACGUAGGAACUGCUGAAAAAGCUUCGCUUCCCUUUGUUGGGUUUCGUGUUCGUACCCCUGGAGCGAGAGUAGAAGCAAAAGUCGAAUAGGAAAAAUUGUACAGAAGCCAAAAGCAAAAGCUACAGCAACGGAGAAAGUCUCCAAUGUCUGACCCAGAGCCGCAGAAGGAACAAAUGAAAAACCAAAAGAAAACCGUCUGACCAAUCUUCCCCAAAAAGUAGAAAAAGAGAACCUAAGGCUAAAAAGUAGAUGAUGCUCAAUCUUGCUUUGUCCUUUUCUUUUUAUAGCCGCCGUCCAAGAAGAGUCAAAGAAGGAAACGUCUGGUGCAAUUGAUUCUACAAAAGCCAUUUCCCUUUUGGAGUUUUGAUCCCAUAUGCCUGGUCCACAUGGACCACGGUCCGUCUUUCGUUUUCGUCCACCUUCCAAGGCGUGGUCACGCCCUGGGACGACAAGUCUUCUGGAAAUCUACCCCGCGAGAUCAUUUUUAAUGCCGAUCAUCUAUAAUUCAUACGAAUGUGAGAUAUGAGUUAAAUCUCAGUAUUUAGCACCGUAAAUAGCCAAAAUUAGGCCAAAAUAACACUGCAAAAUAUGCCCAAUAACUGCUCUAUCAAUGUUGGUAAUUUUGUUUCUGUUGAUUGGGUUACCUGUUAGCGACAAUGGUGAGAUCAAAGUUCUCUUCUAGGUCCGGAACCUCUCGACCUUAGCCUACCCCAACCCAACUCAACCAUUUCCCGCCUCACCCACUGCUGUGGCCCCGUCAUGACCCCCGUGAUUUCAGGGAAGUACCGUUGCUCUUUUGCUAAAGAAGGGAAGUGGAGUACCACAACCUCCUUCAAUUGGGGAACUGUCAAAGGGCUCCCAACACCUCGACAAUUCUACACAAGGGCUCUCAUUGGGGUUUGGGAACCCCAUUAAGGGAGGGCUCCACCACCUCAGACACAUCCAUAUAACACACCUCCUGAUUAAUCUUCUUUACUAGUAUCAGUACACUGUCCAUCCCCAUUUCAAUACUAGAACCUUUCCUUUUCCCUGGUUCAGCCUUAUUAAUACUGUUCGAAAUGUCACUAAGAGGUUUCCUUCUCCCUACUUCUUGCACUAACCUCUUCUAGCUCCUGCAAUUCCUUUCUUUACCCUUCUCCCUAGGAUUACUACUGGCACUAUGCUCCUCAUUCUUUACCUCCCACUUGUUUUUUACAUUUAGAAUGACCUCUCUUACCUCAACAGAUAUAAGUUGUUCCGUCCCCUUGUUAGUGUCACAGUCCAUCCAUACCUGAUCAUACCCCAACCCCUCUUUUGAUUUUUCCCCACCUAUCUCCUCUACCCCUCUCCUUCUUGCUCUCUGACCUUUCCCCUUAGUAUUAACUACCCCUUCUUCUUCUAUAUCUUGCUUUCCUACCCCCCUUCUUGUUCUACUUCGUUCCUCCUGUUCUUUCCUAUCCAUACUGACCUCCUUGACUUGCAAUCCUCUUUACCCUUUCUAACCUCCUUAUCCCCCACAGACCCUAUUUAUUUUUCUACCUCUUUCCCACCUUUUUUAUGGAACUCCUCUGUAUAUGUCAAAAGUAAGUUCUGAAUCCUUCUGUAGGAAUUAUUUUGGUGUGUAUUAUACUUCUUAGGGUUGCUAUUAUCUUGUUUUUGCUCUUUCUCACUUCCUCCAUAUCUACUAUUAGUCUUCCUAUUCGGCCUUCUAAGAAAGCUAGCUCUCAGCCAGUUACCAUAUUGCUGUUCACCUUUCAUAUCAAAGCCUUUAAAUCCACAAUUCUUCUCAUUAUGACCAAUGGCUUCACAACAAAAGCAAAAAUUCGGGCAUUUUUCAUAUCUAAAUUCUACCCAUCUCAUCAUGCCAUUACAUUUGACCAUAGUGCCUCUAGGAAGAGGUUUAGUAAGAUCAAAUUCAACUAGCAAUUUCAUGUUUUUACCUUCUUUCCCCCUACCUCUCUCUGGUGAUUACCUCAAUGACUUCAUUGAAUAUUCCUCCCAUCUUCCUCCCUACCUCUUUGGUGAUCCAGUGUAGAGGUAGGUUCCAAACCUGCACCUAUAUUCUGCACUUGUCAAAAGCAUUUUGCUCGUCUUCAAUUCCCUCCGUCCAUUUCACAAGUAUUAGCGGUUGGCCAUCAUAGAUCCAUGGCUUGUCGUUCAAUGCUCGUUCCAAAUCUGAUUUCUGAACAAACGUAAAUUGAAACAUAUUAGUACGGAUCUCCGUUACCUUCAAAUUUUUCAGAUGAAACCACAUAUGCUCCGCAAAACUCCUAAUCCCAUUUAUAUUCGCUAUCUUCUCUCCCUAGAUAUUCCCCAACAAGCUCAGACUACAUUCGUCAACUCCCUUCGUGAACUCCUCCUUCUCCAACCACACGCCUUCUUUCUUUGUACUUGAAAGAGUAAAUUUCUUCAUCACCCUCUCCAGGUCGUCCAUCCUUCACAGAAACCACAGUCCUCCAGUGAUCCAAGGUCAGCAACCUCUCCUUAGCUAAGCAAGAAGGAGCUGUAACUUCUAUGCUUCCUCACUAAUUACCUAAACCACAAAACAAAUAGAGAUAAGCUAAAAGAAACAGACGCUAAAAUCUACAUAAUAAGAGAAAUAACCAGAAUCAAAUUUGGGUAUCUUUGAAUGCAUUAUAGUUCCUGUUGAAUGCGAGAUCUAGCUCAGAGUUCAACCCUAGGCUCCCAAAUUAGAAAUUCCUUACAUAGAUCAGGGAAAUGGAAACAAUCUAUAUUGGGAAAUAAUUGAAUACGAUUCUGGAUUAUAAAUGUGGAAGCAGUUAUGGAGACUUGACGUUAAUUUUUGAAAGGAGUAAAAACACCCACUACGGGAAAAAGACUCUCUAGAGAGAGAAAGUACUCUCAAAGAGAGAGACCUCUUACAGCGGUUCUUUUGGAAGCACAAGGUUGUAGAGAGAUUUGAUGGCAAAAUUACAGAUUUUACGUGUAACUUACUAUGCGAUUUCACCUAGCUUUGAGUGGCCUAAAUUGUUUGUUGGGCAUAAAACGAAACUCUUCGUACUAUGGUUUGAGGUCAAAUUCACUUGCCUCCCCUCCCCUCGUGUAUUCUUCCCAGGAUGUUCAAAGUGCUUGCUUUAUGCUUUGCACACAGUAAAGCAGCAAGUCAUAAUCAUUUAGGUGACUGGUUCGAUAUCAUUCUGGUCAGCAAGACUGCAACAUCGUUAGCCUCUGCCUACUAUCAUUAAAGUUGUCUCGGGACCAUUGGUUGAUGGAUUAUUAGGCCAUGUUAUUUAGGCCGAACAGAACCACUCAUCAAUGCUUCACUGGCUACAGAUGAAAUUGACAUAAAUCAGUAUUAACCGAAUUGACUUUAAUCAGGCUAGCUCGAAGUUCGAGCUCUUGCUGGAAUGGAUUAUUGUAUUCUUUUAUAUGUGUAUUAGUUGUCCUAUACGAUUAAUGUAAAAUUUUACUACACUAAUACAUUGGGAUGCACGACAUUUAAGUUAUGUUCAAAUUUUACUUACGUGAGAUGCAUCUAAAUUUGCUAAUAAGAAAGGAUAUUUAUCUUGAUGAUAUCAAAUGAAUUAAGAUAUUUAUCUUACUGUUUGCAUUUAUCGAUAUAAAGCAAAAUCCAUCUUAUAUGAUGAAAUUAUUUAUUUAUAUUACUUCACGUUGAUUAGGUUCAAUUAGUCUCGAUCAGUACUCAUAUGAAAAGAUCUUUAUAGUCACGAUAUCAAAUGAAUUAAGAUUUUUAUCUUGCUAUUUUCAUUUAUCGAUAUAAGUUGAAAUCCAUUUUACAUUACAAAAUUAUUUAUUUAUAUUACUUCGCAUUGAUUAAGUUCAAUUAAGCUCUAUUAGUACUUAAGACAGAGCUUAUUUGAGUCGAGCUCAAAUUGUUAUAUUUUAUCUUAAUGCUUGAGCUUAAGAUCUCAUAUUUCAGUCGAGUUGAGGUCAAAUAGUUUAUUGCUCAAAUUCAACUACUUUAAUUGUUUGCAUCCUUCGACAACUCAGUUAACCAUGCAACUGCUAGUCUGCUAUGCCUGUCAGGGUCAAAGCAAAGCAUGACAGCUUAGAUGUGCUUAGGCAUCUAAACAAGAAAUUUCCUAAUAAAAUACUAAUUUCUAAACAAUAAAAUUACUAUAGCUUAACCCCAAUAAAACUAUCGAAAAUUUGAUUUAACCAAAACACUACUAAAUAACAAUAUGAAAAUUUCUAUUUUUGAGUCUUGAUUUAAUAUGCUAACAUCUUUUAGCUCAAAAGAUUUCAACCUUUGUUGUUGCUAACCAUUCGCCUAUCUAAAACAUGCCCAAUAUAAAUUAUUUCGUAACGUAAUGCCUUCCACAUUAAAAGAUUAAUAGAACUCACAAAAUCAUAAAAGAAAAGUAGAAAUGCAACAUACCACAAGUAUUUUGUCUCCCGCAUCAAUCAUGAAUAGGAGAAUUACAAUCAUUUUAAAGAUCUCUGCUUUGAUAACAGAUAGGGAGGGGUUGAAUAUUGAGUUCCAACUUCUUACUUUUUUUAUGACAAAUGGAUGGAAUUACCAUUUCCACAAUGCUUAAGGCUUCAAAUCCUUCUUUACCACCAUCAAUGUGAUCAACAGGACAAGGCCAUCGAAUGAACUAAACUCACUAGUCUCUGAUAUAAAAGAUUCCUAAAGGAAGAAUUUAAUUCAAAGUCAAAAAAGUGGUCACCAAACUCCCAACAAAAUGAAUAAAUAACAAGCACAGGCAGAAAGUUCAAUUGGGAAUGUAUUUCAACGUGGCAAACCUAGAAAUGAUCAUCUCUUAUUCAACAAAUGCAAAUUAAAAUUGAGUACUCAAUAACUCAAAUAUAUGUGGCUAAGGUCACAUUAUAGCCCACGACUGCAUCACCGGUUGUGGGAUCCAAAGAGUAGGUUUGGGCAAUAGCAUAUCCCCGAGCCAACCGGAACAAACCGGUUCCACCCACUACGGUCAUUUCUCGAACCGGAUUUAAUGCCGGGUUGAUGCUGAGAAUGCUAAAUGAGCUGUCCUUGUAUGUCCCAUCUAGGAACUCAUAGCACAUCACCAUUACGAGCCCGAAAUCGGUUUGACCGGCUGAACCGUACAUUCCCCUUGCCCGCCCCACAAGUCUCGAGUUAGGGUCCGGUCCUACCGUUAAUGGAUCAUCCACCAUCAUCAACGAUCCGAACCCAUUGGGCGUAGAGUUGGCCUGGGAAGCUUGGGCUAUCCUUACUGCACUAGGGUUUCUUCCGCUGAGCACGUCGUGAAAGUAGAAUUGAAGAGUGGAAACCACUUCUUUCCCGGAAUCAACCCGCUUGGCCCAUGUAGUGUCAUCUUGGGCUUGAGCCCAUGAAGCCAUUGCUGCCACCAGGGUGAUCAACAUCGCUAGGAGGACUAGCCUGGCCAUCUCUCAAUCCCUCUCUCCCUAUCUUUCUGUCAAUUUUUUGAGCAGCAGAAUUUGAGCAAAGAAACUCAGGAGAAAUGGAAAGCUGGGGCUCGGCAAUUUAUACUGGCAGGAAGUACGAAAUAGGAAGUAAGCAAAAGUGUUUCAAAGUUUCCAAAAGAUAUUCUGACCAAAAAUAAUACAUAGUUGUUAAACCGACUCAACUAGUUUAAUGUCAGAAGGUGGCAAGUGUAACUAAAGCUCAAUUGGACAAAGCGAACAAUUUAAGUAGUUGGCUGGUAAGUGGCAAACUGGAACUAUAACCCUACAAGAAAGAGCCACUAUAGUAUGGAAAGUCCAAGUUGGACCCCAUGAAACUGUCAACAUCUAACCUCGUUUGUUCCCUUUUUUUUUUUUUAAGUUAUUUGCAAAGUAAUAAUUGUUGGCAAAAUAAAAGAAGUUUAGAAGUAUUUAUUUACUUAUUUACUAACUAGUUUUAUUGGAGUCAAGUUUUUAGUAGUUGUGUUAUUUAGGAGUAUGUGUUUUAUUUGAUAAUUGUUGAUGUAAGUGGUUUCUUUUUCAAUAAGUCUGAUAGGUUAUAAAUAGAGAAUUAAUUGUAAUAUUUUCUUAAGAGAGUCCAAAAUGAGUUUGUAAGAUUUUAUUGUGGCGCGAUUUUCUUACACUAUUUUGAGAUAUCAAUAAUAUUGUGAGUUAUUUAUUACUUCUAUCCCACAUAAAUAUUUCGAGCGAUUAUUUUAUUCCUUCAGUUCUAUAAUCCUGCACGUAAUUAUUAUUAGAACUCUAAAUUUGGGUUCUACAAUAAUUUAUUUGGUAGUUGAUGUGUAUUAAUCUAAUCUAAGCAUGCAUUUGUACGUAAUAAUAUGUAUGUCAUAAACUACUAAUCAAUAGUAAAUCACUAGUCAUAGACUUAACUGAUAAGCAAUGAGGAUUGUUUAUUCUAAUCCGACAAUGUAGUACUAACAAAACAAUAUGUAACUCCUCAAUAACAAGUUAGGCACAAAAUAGGGUGCUUAGUGAAGAGGAAUAAUUUCUUAUCCUCCCCAAAUAAAUUUGAUAUUUCCUAGUGGUUAAAUCUUUAAAUAACAAUUUAAUACUAGCACUCUUUGUAAAUUUUGACAUUUUCCACCUUUUAGCAUUUUUUACGGUCUUUAAUGUAACCCUUUAUAUAUAUAUAUAUAUAUAUAUAUAGCGCUAACGAUGUAGUUUUGAAAAUACUUUAUUUUUGCUUUCACCAAGUUAUUGAAAAGUGUGAAUUUCGCUAGUUUUGUAAUUUGAUGCAAAUGAACAUGUUAUUGGAACUUCUUGUCGUUUAUCAGUCAUUAGGAAAAUAAGUUACGUGGAUUCUUUUCUUUUUUGAUAUGUUACAAAUUAGCAUUUUAGGAAUAUUAGAAUCUAAUCAUAAUUGGUGGGAUGAAAACUAAAACAGUAAAACAUAAGGUUAGACUGUGUAGAACCCAAAAAAAUUUUAACAAAAGAGUAUAGGAGAUAAAUUUCAUAGAAUCAAUGUAUAUUGGGAUGCAAUUUACAACAUACAAGUAUAUGUGAGAGAAGAUGAAUAAUACCAACAAUAAUAUAUUAAUCACACACCUUAAUAACAAGUGAUAGGUUGCAAUUUUAUCAUUUAUUUUAUUAUUAAUUUUCCCUAUUACUUGACCUGAUAUGAAUUAAUUGUUAGAUUCUACUCACUUUUCGUAAUUUAUAUUUAUUUCAGGGAGUAGAACAAAAAUAUCACAAUAAAGGCCAAUUUGAUAGUUAUCGGGAAAGAGUUCACAUAGCAAGCAAUCGAGGAUAUUUUUGGAAUAAGGAGAUACAAGUCCUUUUUGGUAAUUCGCAGAGGGCAACAUUAAAAGGAGGAACGAAGGGCUGAAGUAGGGAGUCUUCUUCCCCCUGGGGGAACCGCCGCACAGCACAGGGCUGUCUGGUCCUCUUAGUUUUUCCGUUUCUUUAGUUUUAGCUUAGGAUUUUGACUUUUCUUCUCGUAGGAAUUUUGGGUAGCCUUUAGCUUAGCAACUUUUGUUGACCCCUUUUUUUGGCCUUUUAGCUAGUUUGUUCUUACGCAUGGAAGAUGGCUGAAUAGCUGAGGCUUGUUCUUUGUUUUUCUUUGACUUUUCCUUUUGGUUUGCUUCCUGCGGACGCCCAGACCGAAGGAAAACUAUGAAGUCCCUUUUGUAGCUUUCUCUCUUUAUUAAAUAGACGAAUUGAAUUCCCUCAACUUGCGAAUUGCUGGCCGCAGCUUUUGCUUCAAUUUCUUGUGGGUUUAGUUCAUUAAUUAUGAACUAAUUCUACAAUUCUAGUCAAGGGACAACGGAUGCUUUGAUUCGCCUAAAAAUUGUGAGAUCGAUUUAAUUUUAUCUCUUUAUUUUAUUUAUUGGUAUUUGCAUAUUCUCUGAUUGUAUUGCUUAUGGUUGUUUAAUUAAUUGAUUGUCUUGGAUCCGGAUAAUUAGUUAAUUUAAUAAUCUAUUGUCAAUUGAGGUGUUAAAUCCGUAAUUGUUUAAUUACCUCAAAAUAGUGACAACUGGCACGAUUAGAUUCGUGUCAGGGGGGUAUGCGGGCUAAUCUAAAAUAACCCUGGUAGUGCGUUAUUUGGUUAGAAUAGGGCUCCUCUAAUACGUAAGGCAAUUGGGGAAUUAAAUUCUACGGGCGUACCUAGGAUUAUUUCUCAAUUAGAGCAGUGAUUAACGGGCGUACCUUGAUCACCGACACAGUAAGGAGGGGUUGACUGUCAUCGCUUGUUUGGUAGUUAUAACCUAUUUAUUAGUAAAUAAUUGGAAUUGCCUUUGUUUAUCGAUAAUCAAUUAGGUGAACCAUUGCUGAAGUUAUUCCUUGGCUAGAUCCUUAAUUAUCACUCAUUAGAUUUUAGUAAUUUGUUAUUUAAUUUUUAGUAGUUUCUUAGAUUUUAUUUGAAUUUAUUUGAUUGUCACUUUCUGCAUAAAAACACCCACUUGUCACUGUGAAUUUGAAAGAAACAAUUACUCCCAGUCCCUGUGGAUUCGACCCUGCUUACCACUGUCUACAGAAAUUAUUUUUAGUUUGAGCAGGUAUUUAUUAUUGCACAGGCUUCGACAACCUGUCAAUUUUUGGCGCCGUUGCCGGGGACUGAUGUCAGAUUAAUUUGUUUCUUUUUGAGUUCACCUUGUUUUCAUUUUUAAUUUAUUUUUUUUUUCUUAUUUUUUUUAUGGCUUCUAACACUUCGUAUUUUGGUGAAAUACUGGAUUUUCUUUCCGGGAAAUGCGAUAUGACUAGUUUUAUUGCUGAAUCUGCAUAUGCAGAGGCAGUAAACUCUAUUAGAAAAAGAAUGGCUGCUGCAACCUGUAAAAUUUGUUAUGCCAGGGAUCAUUCAACAGGUAUGUGCCCCGAAUAUCAAGAUAAUCAGAGUGUCCCAUUCAAUAAUUACGGAGAUUUUUCACCCUGGUCUCAAACGUGGUAUGACCCUAAUCCAUACGGGUAUGAUCAAGGAUGGUGGGAUAACUCCAAUUAUAAUUAUUCAACGGGGCCAAUGAAUUUUCAGCAGUAUGAGUCUCAAGAAUCGUCAUCUAUGUCAGGUAUGUAUCCUGAAGAAAUAGUUGAACCAAUAGCUACUAACACAUACCAAUUCCAACAGGAGACACAAAUGGAGGAUGAGAUGAUGAAGGAUGCAAUGAAUUAUCUGGCAGAUCAACUAUGUCUAUUGACAUCCAGAGUGAAUCGAUUGGCUUCUCAAAGGGAAGAAUUGCCCUCGGAAACCAUUGUUGAUCUAGAAGAAGAUGAGAGUGCAAUUGUCCGGCCAAAUGACAUGGAACUGCAAGAGUUUCAAGAAAACGGAUUUAAAGAUGCAGUUGAAAAGGAAGCUGAAGUGCAAGAAAUGAGACUCCAGGAUCAACUCAUUCAAGUGAACGAUUCCAGUGAACAAUCUCCAAAUGCGGUGACAUCUUCUCCACUCCUUAAUCAAUAUUUUCCUGACUCCUAUUCUUCAACUCCUGUUACUGAAAUUGAUUUUAUUAUACCAGAAAAUUUAAAAUUUCAUGACAGGAAUAAGUUAAGAGUGGAGAUGGCAAAAUAUCUUGAACCAAUGAAUGCGUGUGAUGGAGGAGUGAGUGGAGAAUGCAGAUCAUUGUUGACUUGUUUAGCGCCAUUUAUUAGUCCAUGGAAGCCCGUAACUCGUGUGCCCAAGAAUUACUCCAUCUACGAGGGUUAUCAGGACUAUAUAGAGGAUGAAGCAUUAAGACGAGCUACAAGAUUUUAUCCGCCAUGAGCAAAACGUGAUAAUGUCUAGCCAAAGACAUUAAAGAAAGGCGCUCAUUGGGAGGCAACCCAAUUGUUUCUUUUAGUUGUUUGUUGGUUUCGUGUCAUAGUUUAAAUUUGUUUUCCUUGAAUUUGACUGAUUUUGGGUGUUAAUUUUCGUUUUUGCUGAUUUGUAGGUGACCUUCAGUCAUGACGCGCCCGCGUGGUGAUGUGCAUGAAGCUCACGAUCAGAAACUUCUGGGAGCUCUCUUGCCCUCAUGACGCGGCCGCGUGGUGAUGUGCAGGAAGCUCACGAUCAGAAACUUCUGAAACUUCUGGGAGCUCUCUUGCCCUCAUGACAUGCCCGCGUCAAGUAUCACGCGGAAAGGUAGGAUUAAAAAAAAAAAAAAAAUUCACCGUAGCAAAUAUUUCUCACUAAAAAAAAAAAAAAAAAAAUUUCUUUUUUCUUUCUUUCCUUUUCUUUCUUUUCUUUCUUUUUUCUUUCUUUCUUCUUCUUCUUUCUUCCUCCCCUGCUCCCUCUCUGUUGCCCGAAUCUCUUCGCCGCGCGCCGCCACUACGUGGCUCUCUUCUUCCUCGGUCUCCACAGUCGCGCCGCCACCAUCUUCACCACGAGCUACCAUCGCGCGCCAUCGCAAGCUGCUGCCCUCUGCGCAGCCACUGCCGCUUCAACGCACGAGGCGCGCCCCUCCCAUCUCUCUCUCUCUCUCUUCACGAGACCGUGGCCGAGCAACCCACGCCGCCUCCACUCCAGCUUGUUCGCCGCUGAAGCUCGAUCCGCCGCCCACUGCGCGGCUUCCUUCCAUCUUCCUCUAGCUCUGCUGAGCUCCGCUGCCCCCGCUACUGUCCGCCGACCACCGGCCAUAGCCUCUCGCUCGUAGCCACCACAGCUCCGUGCUCAUCUCCCUCGCUCAACCGCACGCCACCUCCGCAGCAGCAGCCUCCACCUCGCUGCACACGCUCUCACCUCACGCCUCCCUCGCCUGCCACCACCACGCGAGCACCACCAGCUUGCCACCCUUUCAACCACCGCCGCACGCCAACAGCCCAACCUCCCUGGUGCCAGGUUUUUCUUUAUUAAUUUUCUGGUCCCCGAUUCCAAUUUCUUGAUGUUGAUGGGAUUUUGAUGAUUGCGAUUUCAUUGAGUAAAUUUGUUUGGAUUGCAUCUGUGUUACUGGAGCCAGUGGGUUGGGUUAUGUCCUGCAGCUGAUUUGCCUAGUCUGAUAUAACUGCCGGUUGUUUAGGCUCUUGGAGUAUUGUCUGGUGCUGUUUGUAUUUUUUAGUGGCUUUGGUUGGCCAUUUGAUUUACUUUUUCCUUGAGCAUUUACCAGUGGUACUGGUAGCAGUAGUUGGCCUCAAAUUUCUUAAUCUUAAGUGCUUGACUGCCUAAUUGACUACUGGGCUCUUGUGCUUAAAGUGUUGCCCGAAUUCUGCAUUGUGAUUGCUGGAAUUCCCCCUCUCUUGGGUCAUUUGCUGUUUUUAGUCGGUUGAACUAUGUAAUUGACUGUCCAAUUGGAGACAGUUGUUGAGAUUUUGGGUGGAGUUGUGUCCAAUUGCUGAAUUUGUUAUUUUGAUUAGCCACUAGCACCGCUCUUCGUGGUUCGAGUUGUUGUUUUGUUGCAUUGUUGGGAGCUGUGCUCGGGUAUGGUGGGUCCUUUUCUGCGUCCAUUUGCUGAAUUAGGAUAUGAAUGUGACUUUGCAUUUGCUUAUUGAAGUGAGUUGCCUCUAAUUGCCUUGUGUGGGAGUAUUUUGUCUUGUUCAUCUCAAUUACUUAGUUCAUUGGGGUACCUUUACGGCCUUUGGGUGCCUUAGGUGUGCAUUUUACUGUUUGGUUUGGCCGCGUGAUUUACUUCUUUUCUGCAUGUGCACCAGUGGUACUGGUUGAGGUGUUUGGCUUAUAAUUUAUUCAUCUUUUGUGCACUAAUGAUACUGGUUGGAAUAUUUCCCCUUGCAUGUGUCAGUUCUACUUGGUUGGAUACUUGAUUGACUGCUAGGCAUGUGUGACUGAGUUGUUCUUGUACAAUUGGAGAUAUUUAGAGAGAUUUUGAGUGGGCGAGUGGUGUCGCUUUCUAUUGAUAUUUGGGAGGCAUCGGUGGCUAUUAAAUUGUUAUUGCUUUGAAUUUGCUGUUUACAUUACCUGUGGGCAAUUUUUGUCUCUUGUUGAUUGAAAUGACAUUUGGAGAAAAUGGUAAGACCCGAGCCCUCUUCUUCUGCGCCUCCCCCAUCGAUGGCCUCCACUGUUCCCUCCUAUCCCUUAGCUGUUCAACAGGGAAGUUUCAUUGUUCUCUUCGCUUUCAUUACUUUAUUAUCUCCAUUGAGGACAAUGUAGGAUUUAGGUGUGGGGGGAGCAGUUAUGGUGCUAGUGUCUUUCAUUCAUUUUUUUUUUCUUUUUAGUGAUUGGCUCGUAAGUGCAUGCCAAGGUUUGAUGUUGGAUUAUUGCCUCUAUUUCUACUAUUACCAAUUUUAAUAAUAAAAGGGUAUCAAGUUCAUGUGGUUGAAUCCAAAAACAUCUCUUUGGUGAAUAUCGAUGAUUGUUUUACUCUUAUAAUUUUGGGUUAACUUUCCUAGACAUAGGGAAUGAUUAUUGGCAUUUUCAUGUGAAUUGGUCCGGUUAUUAACUUUAGUUCUCCAUGUUUGAAAAUGAGGCAGGCUGAUGCAAGUUUCUUUUGGUUCUUGUGUUAUAUUAAGUUUUUGUGAUUUUUAGUUAUGAAUAAAUUUGACUGUACUCCGCUAUUAGUUACUACUGAGUAACCGGGGAUCUGCACCUAAAAGUGUUGAUUCUCGCGUCAAAAAGUAGUAAUUGCUAUGAGUACGUGGUCACGUGGCGAUAGAAGCUGAGUAACCGGGCUCCUUCAUCUGGCCAAUGUUGGAGUUCGCGUCAAAAGGCUCAAAUGGCUAGUGACUAAGUCCCUUGUUACUAUUGAAAAAAAAAAGAAAAAAAAAAAGAAAAAAAAGAGAGAAAUGUAGAAAAAAAUUGUGAAAAAAGUGAAGGUUGUGUUAGUGUGUAAUAAAAGUCAGCUUGCCGAAUUAUGGAUUUAAUGUUGAGAUUUUGGUUAAUAGUUGGACCAUUUGCUGAUAAAUGUUAUGCGUUAUUCCUUUUUCUUAAAUUAGUUAACCUGAAAUUAGAGCAGUUUGUGUUGAUAGUUAUCGGGAAAGAGUUCACAUAGCAAGCAAUCGAGGAUAUUUUUGGAAUAAGGAGAUACAAGUCCUUUUUGGUAAUUCGCAGAGGGCAACAUUAAAAGGAGGAACGAAGGGCUGAAGUAGGGAGUCUUCUUCCCCCUGGGGGAACCGCCGCACAGCACAGGGCUGUCUGGUCCUCUUAGUUUUUCCGUUUCUUUAGUUUUAGCUUAGGAUUUUGACUUUUCUUCUCGUAGGAAUUUUGGGUAGCCUUUAGCUUAGCAACUUUUGUUGACCCCUUUUUUUGGCCUUUUAGCUAGUUUGUUCUUACGCAUGGAAGAUGGCUGAAUAGCUGAGGCUUGUUCUUUGUUUUUCUUUGACUUUUCCUUUUGGUUUGCUUCCUGCGGACGCCCAGACCGAAGGAAAACUAUGAAGUCCCUUUUGUAGCUUUCUCUCUUUAUUAAAUAGACGAAUUGAAUUCCCUCAACUUGCGAAUUGCUGGCCGCAGCUUUUGCUUCAAUUUCUUGUGGGUUUAGUUCAUUAAUUAUGAACUAAUUCUACAAUUCUAGUCAAGGGACAACGGAUGCUUUGAUUCGCCUAAAAAUUGUGAGAUCGAUUUAAUUUUAUCUCUUUAUUUUAUUUAUUGGUAUUUGCAUAUUCUCUGAUUGUAUUGCUUAUGGUUGUUUAAUUAAUUGAUUGUCUUGGAUCCGGAUAAUUAGUUAAUUUAAUAAUCUAUUGUCAAUUGAGGUGUUAAAUCCGUAAUUGUUUAAUUACCUCAAAAUAGUGACAACUGGCACGAUUAGAUUCGUGUCAGGGGGGUAUGCGGGCUAAUCUAAAAUAACCCUGGUAGUGCGUUAUUUGGUUAGAAUAGGGCUCCUCUAAUACGUAAGGCAAUUGGGGAAUUAAAUUCUACGGGCGUACCUAGGAUUAUUUCUCAAUUAGAGCAGUGAUUAACGGGCGUACCUUGAUCACCGACACAGUAAGGAGGGGUUGACUGUCAUCGCUUGUUUGGUAGUUAUAACCUAUUUAUUAGUAAAUAAUUGGAAUUGCCUUUGUUUAUCGAUAAUCAAUUAGGUGAACCAUUGCUGAAGUUAUUCCUUGGCUAGAUCCUUAAUUAUCACUCAUUAGAUUUUAGUAAUUUGUUAUUUAAUUUUUAGUAGUUUCUUAGAUUUUAUUUGAAUUUAUUUGAUUGUCACUUUCUGCAUAAAAACACCCACUUGUCACUGUGAAUUUGAAAGAAACAAUUACUCCCAGUCCCUGUGGAUUCGACCCUGCUUACCACUGUCUACAGAAAUUAUUUUUAGUUUGAGCAGGUAUUUAUUAUUGCACAGGCUUCGACAACCUGUCAAUUUUUGGCGCCGUUGCCGGGGACUGAUGUCAGAUUAAUUUGUUUCUUUUUGAGUUCACCUUGUUUUCAUUUUUAAUUUAUUUUUUUUUUCUUAUUUUUUUUAUGGCUUCUAACACUUCGUAUUUUGGUGAAAUACUGGAUUUUCUUUCCGGGAAAUGCGAUAUGACUAGUUUUAUUGCUGAAUCUGCAUAUGCAGAGGCAGUAAACUCUAUUAGAAAAAGAAUGGCUGCUGCAACCUGUAAAAUUUGUUAUGCCAGGGAUCAUUCAACAGGUAUGUGCCCCGAAUAUCAAGAUAAUCAGAGUGUCCCAUUCAAUAAUUACGGAGAUUUUUCACCCUGGUCUCAAACGUGGUAUGACCCUAAUCCAUACGGGUAUGAUCAAGGAUGGUGGGAUAACUCCAAUUAUAAUUAUUCAACGGGGCCAAUGAAUUUUCAGCAGUAUGAGUCUCAAGAAUCGUCAUCUAUGUCAGGUAUGUAUCCUGAAGAAAUAGUUGAACCAAUAGCUACUCACACAUACCAAUUCUAACAGGAGACACAAAUGGAGGAUGAGAUGAUGAAGGAUGCAAUGAAUUAUCUGGCAGAUCAACUAUGUCUAUUGACAUUCAGAGUGAAUCGAUUGCUUCUCAAAGGGAAGAAUUGCCCUCGAAAACCAUUGUUGAUCUAGAAGAAGAUGAGAGUGCAAUUGUCCGGCCAAUGACAUGGAACUGCAAGAGUUUCAAGAAAACGGAUUUAAAGAUGCAGUUGAAAAGGAAGCUGAAGUGCAAGAAAUGAGACUCCAGGAUCAACUCAUUCAAGUGAACGAAUCCAGUGAACAAUUUCCAAAUGCGGUGACAUCUUCUCCACUCCUUAAUCAAUAUUUUCCUAAUUCAUCUUCUUCAAUUCCUGUUUACUGAAAUUGAUUUUAUUAUACCAGAAAAUUUAAAAUUUCAUGACAGGAAUAAGUUAAGAGUGGAGAUGGCAAAAUAUCUUGAACCAAUGAAUGCGUGUGAUGGAGGAGUGAGUGGAGAAUGCAGAUCAUUGUUGACUUGUUUAGCGCCAUUUAUUAGUCCAUGGAAGCCCGUAACUCGUGUGCCCAAGAAUUACUCCAUCUAUGAGGGUUACCAGGAUCACGUUGAAGAUGAAGCAUUGAAGCGAGCCACAAUAUUUUAUCCUCCAUGAGCAAAACAUGAUAAUGUCUAGCCAAAAACAUUAAAGAAAGGCACUCAUUGGGAGGCAACCCAAUUUCUUUUAGUUGUUUGUUUGAUUUUAUUUGUUAGUUUAAAUCUGUCUUCCUUGAAUUUGACUGAUUUUGGGUGUUAAUUUUCGUUUUUGCUGAUUUAGAGGUGCCCUGCAGUCAUGACGCGCCCGCGUGGUGAUGUGCAGGACGCUCCCGAUCAGAAAGUUCUGAAACUUCUGGGAGCUCUCUUGCCCUCAUGACGUGCCCGCGUGGUGAUGUGCAGGAGGCUCACGAUCAGAAACUUCAGAAACUUCUGGGAGCUCUCUUGCUCUCUUGACGUGCCCGCGUCAAGUUCACGGGAAAGGUAAGGAUUAAAAAAAAAAAAAAAAUUUCAACCGUAGCAAAUAUUUCUCACUAAAAAAAAAAAAAAAAAAAUUUCUUUUUUCUUUCUUUCCUUUUCUUUCUUUUCUUUCUUUUUCUUUCUUUCUUCUUCUUCUUUCUUCCUCCCCUGCUCCCUCUCUGUUGCCCGAAUCUCUUCGCCGCGCGCCGCCACUACGUGGCUCUCUUCUUCCUCGGUCUCCACAGUCGCGCCGCCACCAUCUUCACCACGAGCUACCAUCGCGCGCCAUCGCAAGCUGCUGCCCUCUGCGCAGCCACUGCCGCUUCAACGCACGAGGCGCGCCCCUCCCAUCUCUCUCUCUCUCUUCACGAGACCGUGGCCGAGCAACCCACGCCGCCUCCACUCCAGCUUGUUCGCCGCUGAAGCUCGAUCCGCCGCCCACUGCGCGGCUUCCUUCCAUCUUCCUCUAGCUCUGCUGAGCUCCGCUGCCCCCGCUACUGUCCGCCGACCACCGGCCAUAGCCUCUCGCUCGUAGCCACCACAGCUCCGUGCUCAUCUCCCUCGCUCAACCGCACGCCACCUCCGCAGCAGCAGCCUCCACCUCGCUGCACACGCUCUCACCUCACGCCUCCCUCGCCUGCCACCACCACGCGAGCACCACCAGCUUGCCACCCUUUCAACCACCGCCGCACGCCAACAGCCCAACCUCCCUGGUGCCAGGUUUUUCUUUAUUAAUUUUCUGGUCCCCGAUUCCAAUUUCUUGAUGUUGAUGGGAUUUUGAUGAUUGCGAUUUCAUUGAGUAAAUUUGUUUGGAUUGCAUCUGUGUUACUGGAGCCAGUGGGUUGGGUUAUGUCCUGCAGCUGAUUUGCCUAGUCUGAUAUAACUGCCGGUUGUUUAGGCUCUUGGAGUAUUGUCUGGUGCUGUUUGUAUUUUUUAGUGGCUUUGGUUGGCCAUUUGAUUUACUUUUUCCUUGAGCAUUUACCAGUGGUACUGGUAGCAGUAGUUGGCCUCAAAUUUCUUAAUCUUAAGUGCUUGACUGCCUAAUUGACUACUGGGCUCUUGUGCUUAAAGUGUUGCCCGAAUUCUGCAUUGUGAUUGCUGGAAUUCCCCCUCUCUUGGGUCAUUUGCUGUUUUUAGUCGGUUGAACUAUGUAAUUGACUGUCCAAUUGGAGACAGUUGUUGAGAUUUUGGGUGGAGUUGUGUCCAAUUGCUGAAUUUGUUAUUUUGAUUAGCCACUAGCACCGCUCUUCGUGGUUCGAGUUGUUGUUUUGUUGCAUUGUUGGGAGCUGUGCUCGGGUAUGGUGGGUCCUUUUCUGCGUCCAUUUGCUGAAUUAGGAUAUGAAUGUGACUUUGCAUUUGCUUAUUGAAGUGAGUUGCCUCUAAUUGCCUUGUGUGGGAGUAUUUUGUCUUGUUCAUCUCAAUUACUUAGUUCAUUGGGGUACCUUUACGGCCUUUGGGUGCCUUAGGUGUGCAUUUUACUGUUUGGUUUGGCCGCGUGAUUUACUUCUUUUCUGCAUGUGCACCAGUGGUACUGGUUGAGGUGUUUGGCUUAUAAUUUAUUCAUCUUUUGUGCACUAAUGAUACUGGUUGGAAUAUUUCCCCUUGCAUGUGUCAGUUCUACUUGGUUGGAUACUUGAUUGACUGCUAGGCAUGUGUGACUGAGUUGUUCUUGUACAAUUGGAGAUAUUUAGAGAGAUUUUGAGUGGGCGAGUGGUGUCGCUUUCUAUUGAUAUUUGGGAGGCAUCGGUGGCUAUUAAAUUGUUAUUGCUUUGAAUUUGCUGUUUACAUUACCUGUGGGCAAUUUUUGUCUCUUGUUGAUUGAAAUGACAUUUGGAGAAAAUGGUAAGACCCGAGCCCUCUUCUUCUGCGCCUCCCCAUCGAUGGCCUCCACUGUUCCCUCCUAUCCCUUAGCUGUUCAACAGGGAAGUUUCAUUGUUCUCUUCGCUUUCAUUACUUUAUUAUCUCCAUUGAGGACAAUGUAGGAUUUAGGUGUGGGGGGAGCAGUUAUGGUGCUAGUGUCUUUCAUUCAUUUUUUUUUUUUUUUAGUGAUUGGCUCGUAAGUGCAUGCCAAGGUUUGAUGUUGGAUUAUUGCCUCUAUUUCUACUAUUACCAAUUUUAAUAAUAAAAGGGUAUCAAGUUCAUGUGGUUGAAUCCAAAAACAUCUCUUUGGUGAAUAUCGAUGAUUGUUUUACUCUUAUAAUUUUGGGUUAACUUUCCUAGACAUAGGGAAUGAUUAUUGGCAUUUUCAUGUGAAUUGGUCCGGUUAUUAACUUUAGUUCUCCAUGUUUGAAAAUGAGGCAGGCUGAUGCAAGUUUCUUUUGGUUCUUGUGUUAUAUUAAGUUUUUGUGAUUUUUAGUUAUGAAUAAAUUUGACUGUACUCCGCUAUUAGUUACUACUGAGUAACCGGGAUCUGCACCUAAAAGUGUUGAUUCUCGCGUCAAAAAGUAGUAAUUGCUAUGAGUACGUGGUCACGUGGCGAUAGAAGCUGAGUAACCGGGCUCCUUCAUCUGGCCAAUGUUGGAGUUCGCGUCAAAAGGCUCAAAUGGCUAGCGACUAAGUCUUUUGUUACUAUUGAAAAACAAAAAAAAAAACAAAAAAA